GUGGGGAAUAUUGCACAAUGGGGGAAACCCUGAUGCAGCGACGCCGCGUGAGUGAAGAAGUUAUUCGUAAUGUAAAGCUCUAUCAGCAGGGAAGAAAAAAGACGGUACCUGACGAAGAAGCACCGGCUAAAUACGUGCCAGCAGCCGCGGUAAUACGUAUGGUGCAAGCGUUAUCCGGAUUUACUGGGUGUAAAGGGAGCGUAGACGGCGAUGUAAGUCUGAAGUGAAAGCCCGGGGCCCAACCCCGGGACUGCUUUGGAAACUGUGUGGCUGGAGUACAGGAGGGGCAGGCGGAAUUCCUGGUGUAGCGGUGAAAUGCGUAGAUAUCAGGAGGAACACCGGCGGCGAAGGCGGCCUGCUGGACUGAAACUGACGUUGAGGCUCGAAAGCGUGGGGAGCAAACAGGA
rnacentral:rRNA from 1 species